GGAAUCUAGAGUUGGACUUUCUGGAGUUCUGUGAGCUCAUGGGUGUGAAAGACCCUUCUGUGAAGCUGAAGCAGGAAACUCAAGUGUCACCAACUACAGAGAGAGAGAAGCUAUUGGAAAUUGGUUUUGGAUGGUAAUCCACUUCCUGAGCAGAGUUAUCACUUACUCAUAGGGGAGGACAGCAUGCUGACAGACAUAUCACUGCACAACAGUCAUGUAGGAGAGGAGGGAGCUCGCCUGAUUGGCUCAGUUCUUUCAACUCUACACUCUGCCAACAAAAACCUCCUGUCACUUAACUUGGCCUUUAAUAGUAUCGGGGAUGCAGGUGCCAUUCAU